UUAAGUUCAGCGGGUUUUCUUGCUCGAUUUCAGACCAAGUUAUCGGAACCACUCUCAAAAAUUGAGAGCGGCACCGUGUUGGAUUGAAGUGCGUAAAACGGUGCUGGGCUUGUAGGCCCGCCUUGGCAUCAAACCUCAGUGAGACUUUUCUGUUGCACUGAGAGUUUGGACCAAAGUACGCACAUGACAUGCGUAUCAGC
rnacentral:misc_RNA from 1 species